rnacentral:rRNA from 1 species
UACAUAGGUCCCGAGCGUUGUCCGGAUUUAUUGGGCGUAAAGCGAGCGCAGGUGGUUUAUUAAGUCUGGUGUAAAAGGCAGUGGCUCAACCAUUGUAUGCAUUGGAAACUGGUAGACUUGAGUGCAGAAGAGGAGAGUGGAACUCCAUGUGUAGCGGUGAAAUGCGUAGAUAUAUGGAAGAACACCAGUGGCGAAAGCGGCUCUCUGGUCUGUAACUGACGCUGAGGUUCGAAAGCGUGGGUAGCAAACAGG